rnacentral:lncRNA from 1 species
AUGGCUUGGGUAAAUGAAAAAGGUUGGACAGCUAGCCUGUCUAAAACUAUCUUGUCUUCUCAUGAACAUUUUGCGCUAGUCUAAUUUCUCAAUUUCGUGGCAAUAGAAUGCUGCAGGGAUAACUAUGUUUUAUGAUGAUGAUAACAGUGUCAGUGCCUCAUCUUCUGAACCUUUACAAGACCAGCUUAUGCUGUUCAAUAUUUAAAUAUUUAGGGUGAAGAAUUGGUUAAAAAAAUAUAUCAAUCACUGAAAAAUCUGUUGAUUAAUCUCUAGUUCGGAGGCAUGAUCUAAUAUAGUAUGUUAAAAGGGUUUAAGGUUUAGGGUUUAAAAAUUUAAAGAUUAUAGCAUUGAUUUAAGUACUUUCAAUACCCUUCUCUUGAAUUUGCCAUUAUGGCUCCCCCCAUGCCCUUAUACAUUUCAAUUUUGCUUGGCUGCUCGACCAUUGUUGAUAAAAUUUGUAGCUCCUGGGGACGUUUAAUUUUAAAUGUCAAUUUUCAGUUUUAUAGAUAAUGGUCAUCAGUCAUGUGCUUUUGUUGGAAGUGCUGCUUUUUUAGGCUUCCCCGGCCAUUGAAUCCAACUGCUGGCACUACUAUCUGCAUUUCUUGUGUUAUAAAGUAUCUCCUCAUAGACUUUCUGGAUUUUAACUAGGUGGACAUGCGGAUAACAGUAUCAAGCUACUGUCAUCUGAUGGAGCAAAGACACUUGAAACGGCUUUUGGACACUGUGCUCCUGUCACUUGCCUUGCUCUAUCAUCAGAUAGCAACUAUCUUGUGACAGGAUCCCGGGACACUACUGUAUUACUAUGGAGGAUUCAUAGGGCAUUCACAUCCCGCUCAAGCAGCACAUCAGAACCAACUGCUGGCACUGGCACACCAACCUCAACUAGUAGUGGUACUUUAGCUAACAUCUUGGCAGACAAAAGCAGGAAGCGACGCAUAGAAGGUCCCAUACAUGUGCUUCGGGGUCACCACAGGGAAAUUCUUUGUUGCUGUGUCAGUUCAGAUCUAGGUAUUGUUGUUUCUUGUGGCCAUUCCUCAGAUGUUCUCUUGCAUUCUACAAGAAGGGGUCGUUUGAUGAGACAGUUUGUGGGUGUGGAAGCUGAUGCUGUCUGCCUUUCAUCUGAGGGAAUCGUUUUAACCUGGAACCAAUUUCAACAUACUCUUAGCACAUUCACUCUCAAUGGGGUUCUGAUUGCAAGAGCAGAACUUCCUUCCUUGGGUGGUGUCAGUUGCAUGGAAAUUUCUGUGGAUGGUGAGAGUGCUUUAAUUGGAAUGAACUCAUCUUUGGGCAACAAUGGAGUGUGCAAUAGCAACCAAGACUUGAGUUUUAAAAAACCUGUGAUUGAUAACUUGGAUCUUGAGUCAGAAGAAACCAACGAAAGCAACAGAUUGGAUAUUCCAUCACCCUCAAUUUGCUUUUUGAAUCUGCAUACUCUGAAGGUAUAAGAACCUUUUCACUGAUUUAUCUAUUAUAUGCAACAAGCAUGUUAGACACACGCAUCAUGAUUCACGAAUACUUUUUCAUUUUGCUCAAACAGUGACCUGGUGAAAAUCUUUCAUUUGCAGGUGUUUCAUGUGUUGAAACUGGGAGAAAGACAGGAUAUUACAGCUCUUGCUUUGAACAAGGAUAACACGAAUCUUCUAGUGUCGACUGCAGAUAAGCAGUUGAUAAUUUUCACGGAUCCAGCUGUAAGACUUUCUUUUUUCCAUAUCUUGGCUCUCCAUCAAUCAUUUAGUCUAAAUAUUAAUUAUUUAUCUAUUAGCAGAAAAUUUCUCCUAUCUUGGCAUUGCUUGAUUGAUAACAUCUUGUUGAUUUAUUUCUCAUAUGACCUAUUUAAUUUGCCAUAAAUUAAUCUUUGGGAAACAAGCAUUAUAUCAAGUGUUUUGUGGACUAAAUAAAGAAAAAGAAAACAUACUCCAGUGGGAUUACAAUUUGAGACUAGGCUAUUUUUCAAACUAGAAUGAUAACUUUAAAAAACAUUUAAGUUGAAGCAUAGAAUAGCCUUAUUUUUUCUUUCCUUUUAUCAUGUGUUAAUUACAUGCUACAACUAUUCCAUUUGUUUAAAUUUGAUCAAUUAUAAAAUAGUUUUGACUAAUUAUUUAGAUAAAUGUUAAAACAAGCCAAGCUUGGUCAAAACUUCAGAAUCCCUACUCCUUUAGACUUCCUUGUAUCAGAAAAAAAAAAUACUUAAAAACAAUCCAACUUAAGGAUAUCUGAAAUUUUCCGUGAACAAUAUGAAAAGCAAGCACUGAAAUAACCUGUCUCACAGUUGGCUGGUCCAGAUUAAAAAUAUGAAAAUGAGCCUCCUAAUGAGCGGCCUUAGAGUUGGCUGGUGGUUCUUCCUACCUGAUAGAAAUAUAUUUCCGCUUCAUUGGACAUUUGCUGCUAAGACUUCUACUUGGUGUGUGCUCCUUAUGCUGUGGGGUACCAUGAAUAAACUGAGUGAUACUUGUAGGAAAACUGUCUUAAGUUGAAUGAUUGUUAAACGGUACAACAUUUUAAAGUUAUGUUUUGUAUUCAAAAUUAUUGAUUAUUUGAAUUUAUGUUGUUUUACUUGGAUGUUGAACUUAAUCUUAUCUUGGCUUUGCUAUAUCCAGUUGAGUUUGAAAGUGGUGGAUCAGAUGCUUAAGCUUGGCUGGGAAGGUGAAGGGCUCAGCCCUCUUAUAAAGUCAUAGUGUUCGGCCAUUGAAUUUUGAUUGGUUUGAGAAUGACUAUAGAAGAUGCACCAUAGACUCCACGAGGGUCGAUGCUAUAAAGAGCCUGGCGUCUGCCUUGAGUAAGAGAAGAAUUCAAGUCAAUAACAUGACUAACGACGCCAGCUGCCUUCGUGUAUGUAAAAUAUGUAUGUAUUCACAAGUGGGAACAACCCUAUAUGUGAUUGACAGCGGGGUUGUUAGGCAGAUUCUUUUAUUUGAUUAGUGGUAAGUUUCUUACCAUUGAGAUUGAUGAACUAUACUCCGAGGCUUGAGAUCUUCAUUUUUGCUUUUGGAUAAAAUAGAGAAUGAAAAUAGGACAAGCUAUUUUGUUUCCUAUCUUUUGUGUAUGUAUAAUUGGACUGAGCACAUUAGCUCUUUCUUCCUCACUCCGUUGCCUCUCUUCUUUCACCUUUUUGCGUUUUUCCUCUUUUUGAAUAACCAUCCAGUCCAGUACUCCUCUCUCAAGGAAAGCACUACCAUUGGAGAUGCCAUGUAAGCAAAAUCACUUGCACAUUGCACUCUCUUAUGAUAGUAUAAUUACUUGUUUAGUUACAAUAUUGUUUUUAAAUUUCUUGUUAUUUUUAAUUAAUUAACUUUUUUAAGAAAUCAUUGCCUCCCGAUUUUAAUUCUACUAUAAAUGAUAUAUUCUUGAAUAAGAUCAUCUCUCACAGGAAAAAGCAUAAAUUAUAUUAUAAAUUUUUGAAUUUUUCGAAACGCCAAACUACUUUCCGGAAAAAACUUAUACUAAACAAAUAAUGCUCCGGCCCUAGAAAAAAAUGGGUUGGGUUUUUUAGGCGGUUUCGGGUUUAAUCAUUUUUUAAGGAAGGGGCUUUCCUUUCCUUGGUUGUCCUCAGUCUCUCCCUCGACGUAACCGCUUCGAGAACCAGUCUGCAAGGGAGAGAGAGAGAGAGAGAGAGAGACAGAAGAAUCACCAAGCCGCGGCGGCGACAAGUAGGGUACGGGUUGCAUCGUUUUUACAGAUUUUGGACGAGAUAAAAACAUGGGAGGCAAAGGAAGGAGGAGGAGAGAGAAGAACUACAGAGCUGCUCAUGGUGGUCCCGCCAGACUCCCGCCGCCUCCUGAUCCCUCCCAAGUCGAGGCUUUGCCUUCUAAACUCCGCAAAAUCAUGUCCUUCACCUCCGAUUCUCUUCACGGUUCUCUUCUCUCUCCUCUCUUUUUCUUUUCUUUUUUUUUUUAAAUUAAUUCGUUUGCUUUCCACCUAUUAACGGCUUUAUGUUCCAUGUUUUAGGGUCUGCGAAGGUUUCAAAGGACCAAAAAGCAGCGGAUGGAGAUGCUGUGAAAAAGGUGAGUAAUUAUCAUUAAAUGACUGAUUAUUUUCUUUUUUAAGCUUAAGUCGAUUGAUUUAAAUUCAAGUACUGUAAUUCAUUAUGCAGAAAGACCGAGCAGCGAAUCAAAUUAAGUUAGAAGCUAAUGAAAUCAAAGAUGGAAGUGAUGAUAAGCAUUUCACCAAAUCUCAAUAUUCAGAUAGCGAGGAAGAAACUAUGCAGAACAGCAAAGAUGGAAAGAAAACCAAGAAAAGAAAGAGGAAGCAAGUAACCGACCUUCGGUUUGAAACAAUGGUGGAUAAAUCAGGGGGCAGUUCCAAAAGAAAAGAGCGCAAGAAAAAGUAACUUUUCCUUCUCUUUUUUCUCUCUUAAUUGGCAAUUAAUUGGUUUGAAGAGUGAGUACCUCUGUUGAUUUUGCACCAUGGUAGUGGUAGACAAUGUGACUGAACAUAACCCUGUAGUGAAGUUUUAGUUUUUAUCCCACAUUAUAGAAUUAUCUGCUGAAUUGGGAAUAUGAAUUCUUCUGCUUUGCAGAUGCUGCAUUCCUUUUCCUUUUGUGUAUAGGUGACCAGGCUUUAAUCUAUGUAGGUAUUUUGAAGCAAAGAAGAAAAAGCAUAAGAAUGCCAAAACAGAAGAGAACUUGGACUUCCCUGGAAGAGAGAACAUAAGAUUUGGAGAUGUGGUUGAAGCUCCACCCAAGUUGGUUACAGUACCGAAGGUAAUCAUGAUCUUUUGAUGUUACAUUAAUAACGUUGUAGUAGUAUUUUUUUCGCUCAAGCAAGGAGUUUCUGCUUUACAGGGUUCAAAGACCUUGCAAGAUGCUUCCAAGGAGAGGCUAAGGUUACAGGCUAUUGAAGCCUACAGGAGUCGUAAAGGAUGGACCUCAAGACCGGGGGCAGCUCAACUACCUCCUGCGACUACAUGAUAUUCGUAGAAGACUAUUUGGACUUCAAGCGUAUUCAUCCAUUGACAUUGGCAAUUAGUUUCUGCUGGCAUGAACCGUACGGCGACCACUUUGUAUGAUUGUGAUUUAUCAUGCUGUUGAGUGCGAGCUCAAUUUUGUUGAAGAACAUUGGUGUCCUUGGUUUUGUUGAAUUCUGACAAUAGACAUCCCAUACCCAAUUCAUAGCAUACAUAUGACUUUUAUCUUUGUUUAAAUUGAAUUGAGAACAUCAGGAUUCAUUUCAUACUCAUAAGAUCUCAAGAUGAUCAAGUUUUGCAUGCAAGAACAUUUUUCAUCUUUCUCACACCGAGAAAUAAGAGGCAUGGAGCUAAAGACUCUGCGAGAAGGCAGGGAAGAACUGAGUUGUUGUUUGGUAAAGUUUUGCGUUAAGGUCAUAAGGACUUUCAUUUUAUUGGAAUAUUCUGCUAGAAAGGCAAGCAAGAUUCCGAACUUGCAAAUAUUCUGGUUUGGAUUAUUUUAAUCAACUUGCCAAAUGUUGUCUCAAGUCCCAACAACUUUGGUUACACUUAACACACAGAACUGGCCUGAACUCAUUUUUCAGACAAAAGUAUGGUUCUAGACUCUUUGGUCAGUGAAAGUAACCAUCCAUCAUAUCGAUUCCUUUCCUCCUUUUUGCUUGGUGACAUCAUCCUAUUUAUUCUUGUGCAAGGAAAGAUACAAGUAUAUUAACAGUGUGCAUUUGCCUAGUAUAAAGAACUGAGCCACCAGAUGAAACCCUUGGUCAAAUAAGCUAGAAAGACCAAAGUUAAGUCUGACAUCUGUGAAACGCGCGGACAUGAAGGCCCCCAUCUACAUGAAGAUUGAUCAUCGUCCUGUAGGUGACACAUUUAUUCUCAUCACUCAGUUUGAACACAAAGCAGUGCACCAGGACAGCCGAGAAGAUCUUCAUCUGCCUAUAAGCAAAUUCCUUGCCUAAACAUAUUCGAGGCCCUGCCUGUAAACCAUUAGAAAAUAAAGUUCAGUAUGUUAACACCUUUAGCCGAUAAAGUCACACUUGUGAAACAAUAUGAGAGGUUUGAACUUUCAGAAAAAGACUCAGAACCAGAAUCAAAUGCUGUUAUACUGCCUUUUUACCCUCUUUUUUUCUAUUUGAGGUUUUAUUUUACACCAAGUGCCAAUCAGAAUAAAAAUGCUUUGCCCGAUCUGCAAAAGAAGCAUACAACAAUUUCUAAUUUGCAACAUGUUCUGCAUACCUGGAAUGCUGUAAACUUAAAAGGGCUUUCUGAUUGGAACAUCCCAUCCUCAUCAAGCCAUCUCUCUGGUUUGAACUCCUCUGCAUCAUCACCCCAAAUGAAUUGCAUUCUGCCCAUUGCAUAAGGUUGAUAACAAACCAUAUCCCCUUUCCUCACACUGAACCCAUCUGGUAGAGUAUCAUCAGAGAAGCAUACCUUUGCAUCCUGCAAUCAAUGUGAAGAGAUAGUGAGAACCAAAGAACAAGGAAGCUAAUUUCUAACCUUCCAGAUACGCAUUAAAUGGAUAUCAGUUUAUAGAUGCAUGUUCUUGGAUGUACAUUAACAAGUUCAGUUGGAGGAUUCAAGAUUCAAGGCAACUUUGCUUACAACUGGAACAGCGGGGUAGAGCCUUAAUGUUUCAGUUAUGGCUGCAUGGAGAUAGUGCAUUUUUCCUAAAGCUUCUUCGCUCAAGAUAGCAGCAAAUUCAGCAUAAUCUUUAACAUCUUUCGUGUCAGUUGCUUCCUUCACUUCUUGUGCAACCUUUUCUUGAACAUCAGGAUGCUUGCAGAGCAUGUAAAUAAACCACGACAGAGUAGCUGCCGUUGUGUCUUUCCCAGCAAUUAUGAAGUUAAGGAUUAUAUCUCGCAAGUAUGUUGGAUCAGUGUCACUCACUUGUAGAAAUCUGGAUAAAAUGUCUUCCUUUUUCAUCUGCAUAAUCUGUAGAAAAUAAUAAUUUCAAUAUUCCACUUCAACAGGUAAUAUAAGUUGUUAACUAUAAGUAGCUCUACUGUUCUAGUUCACUCACUGAAGAUUCAUCCUUUGAGUUGCGCAUUUGCUCAAUCUUGUUGUGGAUCAGCUUAUACACAAAAUUAUCAACCACUUCUAUACUUUUCUUCAGUGUGGCCUCUGAUCCAAUAUUUAGAAAUCUUUUGAUCUUCCAGAAGAUAUCAACAUAUCGGAAGAGGAUUGCUGCACUUGAAUCAUCAAAAGCAGCUGUAAACUGUUUGCCUUCUAAAUUUGAUCCACACAUGCUGUCUAGUUCGACUCCAAAUGCAACUUUGAAUAUUGAAUCUAAAGUCGAUUUCAUAAACAAGUCCUGCACAAUAUAUCGUUAUAACAGAUUCAUUUUAUAUAUCACUCUGCCAUUGAUCUUGCCAUUAGGUGAACUUACCUGUAUAUCCAUUAUCUCAUUGGAAUUUGCUGCUUCAGACACUAUAGUCGCAAGUUUUGCCGCAUUUUCCCGAAAGACUACACUGCUGAAAUCUCUCAAGACCUUGGUUGAGAAUUCAUAGCUUGAUACUUUCCUCUGUUGACGCCACUUAUCACCAUCGACAGUGAAAAUCCCAUCGCCUAGUAAACCCUUUAGCAAGCUGUAAUUGUACUCACCCUGCACAAAAAAUUAAACAGAUUGGAAAACCAAAACAACUCCACCAUUCUGCCUUUUGGGUGGCCAUAUAAUUAUCAAAAGCCCUUUCAUUCCAACUAAUCACUCUGCGGCACAUUAGCAUCUUCAAUUGACUUACUUGUGGCGAGAUUGAGACCCUUUUCUUAAUCUAAUUAUGGGUGUUUCUGUCUAGGCUACUUAUACUAACCAAUCACCGGGAGAGUUCAGAAUUUUCUAGACCAACAAAUUAUUUGUGACUUUGAGGUGUGAAACGAGAGUCGGCACCAUACCUUGCCAUAAUUCUGGAAAUUUGUUUUGAGAAUAUACUCAACAUUGUCGGGUUCCGAGGUAUAAAUCUCAUUCCUGAAAGGGCUAAGCAGCCUGUAGGUCCUGUACUUCCCUGCAAGAUCAGUCAUAUAGUGAUGCAAUCUUCUGAAGUUGAGGAGCUGGUUAAAAACCGUUCCGCCAACAGGAUGGUACUUGGCCUUAUUUUUCCUCUGCCUUUCUCUUAGUUUUGCUGUGAGGAACUUGACAGUGAAAAGGGCAAGGAUUAGACUUAGAACCAAAGCUACCAAGGGAACUGGGUUAGACAGAUCCAUGGACAUGGAGGUACGUUUGGGUAAGCUGGUCUAUCAAUGUUAGGUGAAGGCUGUAUUAAACUAGAGAAGUCGGUUUUGUAAUACUAAUAAUAUCAACGGAGAGAAGUCCUUCUGCUAAGUCAUUCCUCUCAACCAAACGUGUCAUAACCUAAUUGGACGACAUUCGGACAAGCCCUAAACGUGGUUCUCUCGAAUUUCACAAGGUGAUCUUUUUGAAAAUUGGUAAAAAAUUACUAAUAAACUUCACCACAGCCAAGUAACAAAACAAAGGGCCAUACUUGUUAUUUCCUUAGUUAUGAUGAUAAAGAACAUACAAAUCUCUUCUAAUUGGUUAUUCUAUAGUUAAGUAAAGAGAAUGAUUUUUGAAUUUAAUUCUUAAAUAAGAAAAUACGUGUAUUUAUCAUGUUAAAUUUAAUACUCAAAUGAAAAAUUAAUUAGAAUUUUAUUUCGGAGCAUAUGAUACAAUCAAGUAACUUAAGUACAAAGAUGAUUAAGCUUGGCAAACAAGGAUAUGUCAUGUUUCUCAAUCCGAGAGAUAAGAAGCACAGAGCCAAAGGCCCUGCAAAAAGGCAGGGGAGAACUGAAUUGUUGUUUCCUAAAACUUUGCAUUAAGAUCAACAUGACUUUCUAGUCAUUAAAUAUUCUGCUAGAUUUCGAACUUGCAAAUAUGGUCUGUUUUAAUGAAAUUGCAGAAUGUUGUCUCACGUCUCAAGAACUUUGAUUUCACUUCUUUUUCAAGGAAAAAAAAAUGGUUUCACUUAGUUUGCAGAAGUGUCCUGAACUCAAUUUUCAGACAAAAGUAUGGUUCAAGACUCCUUGGUGAGUGAAAGUAAUUCUUCAUCAUAUUUAUUCCUUUAUUUUUCUUUUUGGAUAUCAUUGUAUUUAUUCUUGUGCAAGGACAAGUACAUGCAUACUCAAACCUUGCAAUUGCCCAGCAUACAGAACUGAGCCAACAGAUGAAACCCGUGGUCAAAUAGGCAAGAAAGACUAAGUCUGACAUCUGGGAAAUGCGCGGACAUGAAGGCCCCCAUCUACAUGAAGAGUGAUCAUCGUCCUGUAGGUGACAGAUUUAUUCUCAUCACUCAGUUUGAACACAAAGUAGUGCACAAGAACAGCCGAGAAGAUCUUCAUCUGCCUAUAAGCAAAUUCCUUGCCUAAACAAAUUCGAGGCCCUGCCUGUAAACCAUUAGAAAAUAAAGUUCAGUAUGUUCACAUCUUUAGCCGGUGAAAUCACACUUGUGAAACAAUAUGAGAAGUUUGAACUUUCGGAAAAAGACCCAGAACCAGAAAUCAAAUGCCGUUAUACUGAUUUUUUACCCUUUUUUCCUAUUUGAGGUUUUAUUUUACACCAAGUGCCAAUCAGAAUAAUAAUGCUUUGGCCGAUCUGGAAACGAAGCGUACAAGAAUUUCUAAUUUGUAGUAUGUUCUGCACACCUGGAAUGCUGUAAACUUAAAAGGGCUUUCUGGUUGGAACAUCCCAUCCUCAUCAAGCCAUCUCUCUGGUCUGAACUCCUCUGCAUCAUCACCCCAUAUGAAUUUCAUUCUGCCCAUUGCAUAAGGUUGAUAACAAACCAUAUCUCCUUUCCUCACACUGAACCCAUCUGGAAGAGUAUCAUCAGAAAAGCAUAUCUUUGGAUCCUGCAAUCAAAGUGAAGAGGUAGUGAGAACCAAAGAAAACCCCAGAACAUAGAAAGGAAGCUAAUUUCUAGCCUUCCCGAUACGCCUUGAAUGGAUAUCAGUUUAUAGAUGCAUGUUCUUUGAUGUGCAUUAACAAGUUCAGUUGGAGGAUUCAAGAUUCAAGGCAACUUUGCUUACAACUGGAACAGCGGGGUAGAGCCUUAAUGUUUCAGUUAAGGCUGCAUGGAGAUAGUGCAUUUUUCCUAGAGCUUCUUCGCUCAAGAUAGCAGCAAAUUCAGCAAAAUCUUUAACCUCCAUCGUGUCAGUUGCUUCCUUCACUUCUUGUGCAACCUUUUCUUGAACAUCAGGAUGCUUGCAGAGCAUGUAAAUAAACCACGACAGAGUAGCUGCUGUUGUGUCUUUCCCAGCAAUUAUGAAGUUAAGGAUUAUAUCUCGCACGUAUGUUGGGUCAGUGUCAUUCAAUUGCAGAAAUCUGGAUAAAAUGUCUUCCUUUUUCAUCUGCACAAUCCGUAGAAUACAAUUAUUUCAAAAUUCUACAUAGAAACCGUUAAUUAUAAGUAGCUCUAUUCUUCUAGUUCACUCACAGAAGAAUCGUUCGAGUUACGCAUCUGCUCAAUCUUGUUGUGGAUCAGCUUAUACACAAAAUUAUCAACCACUUUUGUACUUUUCUUUAGUUUUGCUUCUGAUCCAAUAUUUAAAAAUCUCUUGAUCUUCCAGAAGAUAUCAACAUAUCGGAAGAGGAUUGCUGCGCUUGAAUCAUCAAAAGCAGCUGUAAACUCUUUGCCUUCUAAAUUUGAUCCACACACGCUGUCUAGUUCAACUCCAAAUCCAACUUUGAAUAUCGAAUCUAAAGUCGAUUUCAUAAACAAGUCCUGCACAACAUUUCGCUAUAACAGGUUCAUAUUAUAUAUCACUCCGUCAUGGAUCUUGCCAUUAGGUGAACUUACCUGAAUAUCCAUUAUCUUGUUGGACUUCGCUGCGUCAGACACUAUAUUUGCAAGCUUUGCUGCAUUUUUCCGAAAGACUACAGUGCUGAAAUCCCUCAACACCUUCGUUGAGAAUUCAUAGCUUGACACUUUCCUCUGUUGACGCCACUUAUCACCAUCGACUGCGAAAAUCCCAUCACCUAGUAAACCCUUUAGCAAGCUGUAAUUGUACUCACCCUGCACAGAAAAUUAGACAAAUUGAAAAACCAAAACGACCCCACCAUUCUGCCGUAGCCAUAUAAUUAUCAAAAACUCUUUCGUUAUAGCAAAUAACCCUGCAGCACAUUAGCAUUUGUAGUUGACUUAAUUGUGACUAUAGAUUGAGACACUCUUUCAUAUUCUAAUUCUGGGUGUUACUGUCUAAGCUACUUCUUCCAACCAAUGACAGGGGGAGUUCAAAAUUUUCUAGACCAACAAAUUACCUUGCCAUAAUUCUGGAAAUUUGUUUUGAGAAUAUAUUCAACGUUGUCUGGUUCCGAGGUAUAAACCUCACUCCUGAAAGGGCUAAGCAGCCUGUAGUUCCUGUACUUCCCAGCAAGAUCAGUCAUAUAGUGAUGCACUCUUUUGAAGUUGAGGAGCUGGUUAAAAAGUGUUCCGCCAACAGGAUGGUACUUGGUCUUGUUUUUUUUCUGCUUUUCUCUUAGUUUUGCUGCGAGGAACUUGACAGUGAAAAGGAUCAGGAUUAGAUUUAGAAACAAAGCGACCAAUGUAGCUGGGUUAGACAGAUCCAUGGAGAUGGAGGUCCUUUUUGGGUAAGCUGGUCGAUCAAUGUUAGCGGGUGAAGACUGAAGAAAACUAGAGGUCUUUUUAUAAUACUAAUAAUAUCAACGGGGAGAAAUCCUUUUGCUAAGUCAUUUCUCUUAACCAGACGUGUGACUAUAUUCGGACAAUCCGCAAACGUGUUUCUCUUAAAUUUUACGUGCACAUUGCUGAGAGUCCAACCAUGAGAGAGAUAUGCACCGACUUUCCUUCGUUGUCUCCUUUUUCGUUUUUAAAUUGUUAUAAGUUAUUAACUAAUUUCACCACAACCAAUUAACAAAACAAAGGGCAGGACUAGGUUUUUUUUUACUCAGUCAAUAUAACUAUUUAGAGAAAAUUGUGAAAAAUAACUCAUAAGGUGAUUUCAAAAAUAAUUAUCCAUAUAAUGUUAUCUGUUUUUACCAAAAAACAAACAUGAGUAAACCAAAAUGCUCUCAGAAACAUCCUGGCAAAUCAAUCUCCUAAUAUCUCUCUCGCUGUAAAGAAAAUAAAUACUCAGUUAUUUCAGCUCGCUCAACUCUUUCAGCUCUCUAAAUUAUAUCAGCUUUGUCAACUCUCUGUUAAGUACCAUCGUCAUCAACUCUCUUAGCUAUUUGAACUGUAUCAUCUAUAUGUACUUAUUAAAGAUAUAAAUUAAAGAAUAUAAAAGAAAACGAAGUAAAUGAAUAAUUGAAAAGACAAGUCGAGCCACUAAUUACUACAAUGAUCACUGUCUGAUCACGACAGCUAAAGCCACUGCAAUUGCUCGGCCAAUAAAGUUGACAAACUUUGUUGAAAUAGGACUUGCAUUGAAAAUCACGUCAGUUCAUACUAUCUUAGGAUCAUAUGUGACCAUUUUGUAUAAGCUAGCUUUCUUUCAAAUUAUGAUAACUAUGCAUUUAAUGAAUGAUUUAUAUGAUGAUUAGUAUGCAUUCUUAGGCCUAGCUACUGUUCAAAACUUAGUUGUUAAGUUUUGUUAUGUAUAUAAACUAAGUCAAUGCAUAUCAGAAAUAUGAAACCUACUGUUACAACAAAAACUGUCUUUACUUGCUCUGUUUCAUACUUAUCCUACAUCAACUAAAACACAACAAAACUUACUAAAUAAAGCAAUCUAUAUACCAACAAUGUCUUGGAAUUUAGCAAGUUUUAGUUUGUCCUCUUGGAAUGACAUAGAGGUCGAGGCCAUGCUGGAGGGUGAAGCCACAACAUGGUCCUAUCGUCUGCCAAGUUGAAGCGAAAGUAGUGAAUAAGGGAACUUUGUUGAGAUUUUCUUUAUCUGCUCAGAAGAAAUUAAGAAAAAAUUAUAUGGUGUAGAUACUUGAUUUUGAUUUUGAUUGUUAACAUAUUUCUUCAAUAUAAAGUAAAAUUAAUUUAUAAAACGUUGUAUUACUAUGUAAGAAGUAGUGUAGAUAAUUUAUAAUAAGUAGAAAAAUCACGUCAUUGUAUAAACUAGUGAAAAUAUCUUCGAAAUAAAUGAUGAGAUUUUUAAAUUAAUUUUUUUAAAAUGUUUUGAAGAGUUUGAUUUGAUAACUUAAAUACAUAAAUGAAAAUUUUCUAAAUACGUAUGCAUAAAAUCCACUAUCACCAUCAAUGACCUAAACAUUCAUAAGGCUUUAAUGCCUCAACAGUUGACAUUUUCUCAUUGGUAUGAAUAAAUUUCAUUAAUUACAAGAUUACUCAAUUCCAUAACCCUUCAAGAUAUUUUCUCAUUGAUUGUGUUCGAUUUGAUAAGGAUGUUAAUUUUUUUUUUUGAAUUACAAAUAUUUUUCAUUUUUUUAAAUAAUUAAGUGACGCACUUCUAAUGCCUCAGUAGCUGACAUUAAUUAUCCAUUGGUUGCAUUCACUUUGAUUCGGAGCUAAUUAACAACCGAAAAGUUGGCCGAUGUUUGCCGACUUGGAUUUAAUGGUCAUAUGAGUUGGUGUAACAAUGUGAUACCAAAAAGGUAGUAAUCAAUACAAAUUUUGAGUAGGAAGAGUACUGCAUUCAAAUGAAAUCAAGAAGAAGAUUGUGGAGAAAACUCUCAUUUAAUGGAAGAACAUGACUGCCAAAUACGAGUACCUAAACAUGGUUUGGCAAUUGCCAUCAUCCUAUGCAUCCCUAGGUUACUUAACUGAUUGAUGUAAUUCAUUGAAUAAAAUGGUUAGUUGUUAUUAUCAUGUCAUGUCAUCGUCAUGAUAUUUCUUCCUCUUUUGUGAGUAAUGAGAUUUUUGAAGGAUGGAGAUGACUCUACCUAAAUUCUUAGAUUUUUUUGUUGCUUAUUUUCAUUGUAUUUUGAGUUUUUGACUGUGUCUAACUGUUUAUCUUUUGCAAAGCCAUUUUUUCACCUUAAUUUCAACCCAGCAUCUGUGUGUUGUCCGAUGGGUUAGAAAAUGGGCAAGUUUGAUUGGUGGUUGAUUCCUUUUCUUCAGCAUUUUGGUAACUUGGGCCUAUAAAAUUUAUUUAUAGUAGACAAAAAAAAACUUUUAUUAAAAAAUAUUAUAGUAAAUAUUUGUUUCUUUUCGGAUAAUUGACUUUUAUUUAGCUAAGGAAUAUUUUAUUUGAAAUAUGUCCCAUAUAUACCACUGAAAAUCCAAGGCUUUUUAUGGUUAUUCAUUCUUAAUGGCAUUUCUACUAAAUGCUUUCUAAGAAUCAGAACGCAUGGUGUAUGUCCUACAAUACAAAUGGUGAUAACCUUUGUUUUUGGUGUUACAGCCAUGGAGGAAAAGAGUGAUGAUAUUUUAUUUUCUUGUCACUUCAUACGGUCCAUGGAGGAAAUGUGGAUAGAUCGAAGAUAAGUAAAUCAAGAUUCACAGACUGUGAAAGCGUAUUAAAAGAUGAGAACUUUUUGACUUGGAUUUUUUUUAAUAAAAGUUCUUUGCUUGGAUUUUUUUUUAGUAAAAAUUCUUUGCUUGGAUUUAAGAGAUGAGAUUCAAAGAACUUUUAAGAGAUGCAGCAAACAACCUCAAAAUCCAAGCUCUUUGCUUGUAAGCUUCCUAGCCACUUGUAAACAGAAAAUACGGCUUCUAUGGAGUCCCAAUCUCGGGAAAUGGUCAGGGCAUAUAGACCAGAUGACUCGAAUUGUACAUAUAUUUUUUUCUUUUUUGGUGAAAUAACUCAAAUUCCAUUGAUCAACACAUUUACAGAAAAAAGCAAAUCAACACUAUAGAAAAAUGCAAAUCGGGGCUCUUAUGUACAACCAGCAAGGUUGAAGACUUGAAGUUGAACAAAUUGAUGACUUUGCACAGGAGGAUAUUUGGAAAUUCAUCAACUUGUCCUUGGAACAGCAUAAAGAUGGAGGCCCCCCUUCAUAUGAAGUGUGAACAUUGUCCUGUAAGUUGCAAUUUUCGUAUAAUCAACUAAUUUAAAGCGGAAGAAGCGAAGAAGGGCAAUUGAGACUAUCUUCAUCUACCGGUGAGCAAAAUCCUUGCCUAAGCAAGUUCGAGGACCCGCCUGAAACAUAAUGCAGCAGCUGGAAAAGAUUAAGAUCGUUUGACAACUAUAUAGGCACAUGCAUGUUAUACACAUGGUAGAAAUGGAACAAAGAAUACUAACAUGAAAUGCUAUGAAUUUGAAAGGGGAUUCGGACUGGAAAACUCCAUUGUUAAGCCAUCUUUCUGGUCGAAAAGUGUCGGCAUCUUCUCCCCAAAUGUCAGGCAUUCUACGCAUGGCGUAGGCCAUGUAAUACACCCCGUCUCCUUUCUUGAGUUUGUAGCCAUCGGGGAGAAUGUCAUCCUGCUCUGCAUUCCUUCCAUCCUUGAAGCACAAAGUGAGAACCAUAUCAUAUUCCAGCUGUCGAAAUGCUAAGACUGCAAGAAAAUCUAUGAGUGUCUCAGGCACCUUACAAUGGCGACAGCAGGGUACAGCCUUAAGGUCUCUGUUAUGGCUGCAUGAAGAUAGUGCAUUUGCUCUAGGGUUGAAUCAGUUAUGGUUGUCACGAAAUCAUCAACAUUAUUAGCACCAUUUCUUUUACUACUAGUGACGUCCACCACUUCUUGUGCAAGUUUUUCUUGUAUCAAAGGGUUCUUGCAGAGCAUGUAGAAGAACCAGGACAGAGUAUUCGCAGAAGAAUCUUUGCCAGCGAGUACGAAGUUCAGGAUUAUAUCCCUUAAAUAUUUGUCAUUCAUUGUGUCUGGAUUCUUCUCGCUUUCCACUAAAAAUCUUGAAAGUAUGUCUUCUUUCACAUUCUUGAAGCCAUAAAAAGAAAUAAGAAAAAACAAACCAAUUAUUAGUAAAGUAUAAAUUUCCACGCCAAAAACCAGAUUACCUUAAGCAGUGAGAUUGAAUUCAACAGUGUUCUUGUGACUCUCAAGUCCCACCAUAUUUGUUAGACCAAGAUUGACUAUAAGAAAUUCUUGCAGCAAAAUAUAUAUGGCUCACCAAAUCUCGUUCCAUGCCCAGCAGUUUCCUCUUGGAGCUAAUGACAUCGUGAACAAAGUAUCAACGACUUUGAUAUUCUUUCUGAGGGCAGCUUCAGAGCCAAUGUUAAGAGACCGUUUCAGCUUCCAGAAAGGGUCAACAAAGCGCCUCUCAUUUGAAUCAUCAAAAGCCUUCAUAAAAGUAGUCCCUUCCUUACUUGACCCAUCCAUGCAGUUUAAAUCUAUGCCAAACCCAACUUUGAAUAUGGAAUCUAGAGUGCAUGUCAUUAAUAGAUUCUACAAAUUAAAGUAAACACAGCAUGAAAAACUGAAAAAGGGAAAAUUAGACAAGCAUAAUUGUGAGCAUCUUUAAAGUUUUGGGUUAAUUUGAGGGUCAGAUUUCUCACUUGCAUGUCAAAAGCUUGACCCGACACUUCCAGCUUCGAAAUAACUCCAACCAGUUUGGCAGCGUUCCUUCUGAAAACAGAGCAGCUAAAAUAUUUAAGAACUCUCGUCGAGAACUCGAAGCUUGCCAGCUUCCGCUGCUUCCGCCACUUGUCUCCGUCCACCGCAAAGAUCCCUUGUCCAAAAAGAUCUAUCAGAAUUUCUUGGUUUUGUUUACCCUUACAGUAUCUGUCGAACUUUGUUUUCAAUAUGUACUCUACAUUUCGCGUAUCGACGGUGUAUACUACGCUUAGCCCUAAAGCGAGUUGCCUGUAAGUGGGCUGUUUUUUGGCCGCUUGGGUUUGGUAGUCGUAGAGAUAGUUGAAAUAAAACAACUGGUUGAAAACGCUGCCCUUCACCGGUGGGUUGUCAGGAUUUCCGAUGGAUUUUCCGGUGAAGAUUUUGAUUGUGAGAAAAGAGAAGAUCAGGAAGAGAAUGAGUGGUGGUAAUGACAUCAACAAGAAGAUGGUAGAGAGAAUAUCCAUUUUUCCUUUUUCUAAUGAAUACUCGGAAAGGUUAUAGGCCAUAUAUGCAGAUUCUUGCAUUGGGUUGCAUUCAUUUUUCAACCUACCAACAAAAUCAAACCGUUUUCAUCACCAAUAUCUUUCUCAACAACAAAAUCAUUUGUUUAAUAAUUAUAAUGUUUACACGUGUACGAUUGCCAUUUCAUCAAUUUGAUUUUUCUUGUAAAUUAAGUUGAUGCCACCAUAUCUCAUACUUCAAAAAUUUUAGAGGAUUGUACGGAUAAUCAUAAAUUUAUAAUCAUAAUUAUAAUCUAUUUAACUUCUAAAGUGAAUUAACAUAUAUAACUUUAAUCAAGUAAGCAUGAAAAAAGUGUAUCAUUUAAGUUUGGGUCUUGUUUACGAAUAUUCUAAGAGUUUUUUUAUCGUUAAUUAAAAUAUUAUAAUAAUAUUUUUCUUUUAAAUGUCGUAAUUGACUGGUAGUGCGAUGAUUUUCAAUAUAUCUAAAAUGAUAUUACUCAAUAUAAUAACUUUAAAUAAUAUCAUUAUAACAAUAGUUAGUAAAAGUCAUAAUAUUCAAAAAAGCUUUUAAAUUAUUCAAAAAAUUUAAAAUAAAUCUUACUUUUAUUAUAUUCAAUUAUAUUUUUAUAUUUUUAUUUUAGAUCAAAUAAAUCUUUUAUUUUUAUUUUGAAUCAAAUAAAUCUUUAUAAAUAAUAAUUGACUUAGUUAAAAUGUUAUUUGUCAUUAUAUAUUACGUGACGCUGAUGUAGUAUACUAACAUAUCAUAAUUAAUGAUGAUGUGAUAUGUUGAUUUAUCAUAUUUGAUAAUGAUAUGACAUGCUAGUUUAACCUAAUAACAUGAUGACAUUUUUCAAUCUCUACAUUAAUAUCAUAUUAGUGCCACGUGGAUAUAAAAUGAUAAAAUAUAUUUUGACUAAUGAAAAUUAGUCAAUUAUUAUUAAUAAAAGCUUAUUUGAUCUAAAAUAAAAAUAUAGAGACUUGAUUAAGCGUAACAAAAGAAUAAAAAUUUAUUCGAAUUUUGUUAAAUAGUUUCAGAGCUUAUUUGAGAAAUAUGUGUUAGUAAAACCAUUUAUAUUUAAAUUUUUAUUUUAUUUUUUGAAAAGUAAUUUGUCAUAAACGGAAUAAUGACAUGGCUAUAGAUUAAGCUAGGCUAUAAACUUAUUUCAGCCUUAAAUGAUUAACAAUGAAUAAGGUGCGUCCCCUCUCAAGAAACCCCUAUACAAUAGUUAGGAUAAACCCUUAAAGGAUGGACCUCAGGACCGGGGGCAGCUCAAGUACCUCUUGUGACGACAUGAUAUUCAUUGAAGACUAUUUGGACUUCAAGCGUGUUCAUCCAUUGACAUUGGCAAUUAGUUUCUGCUGGCAUGAACCGUAUGGCGACCACUUGUAUGAUUGUGAUAUAUCAUGCUGUUGAGUGCGAGCUCAACUUUGUUGAAGUACAUUGGUGUCCUUGGUUUUGUUGAAUUCUGACAAUAGACAUCCCAUACCCAAUUCAUAGCAUACAUAUGGCUUUUAUCUUUGUUUAAAUUGAAUUAAGAACAUCCGGAUUCAUUUCAUACUCAUAAGAUCUUAAGAUGAUCAAGAUUUGCACUUAACGGAAGCAAAACUGGCCUGAACUCAAUAUUCAGACAAAAGUAUGGUUCUAGACUCUUUGGUCAGUGAAAGCAACCAUCCAUCAUAUCGAUUCCUUUCGUCCUUUUUGCUUGGUGACAUCAUCCGAUUUACUCAUGUGCAAGGAAAGAUACAAGUAUAUUAACAGUGUGCAUUUGCCUAGUAUAAAGAACUGAGCCACCAGAUGAAACCCUUGGUCAAAUAAGCUAGAAAGACCAAAGUUAAGUCUGACAUCUGUGAAGUGCGCGGACAUGAAGGCCCCCAUCUACAUGAAGAUUGAUCAUCGUCCUGUAGGUGACACAUUUAUUCUCAUCACUCAGUUUGAACGCAAAGCAGUGCACCAGAACAGCUGAGAAGAUCUUCAUCUGCCUAUAAGCAAAUUCCUUGCCUAAACAAAUUCGAGGCCCUGCCUGUAAACCAUUAGAAAAUAAAGUUCAGUAUCUUCACAUCUUUAGCCGGUAAAAUCACACUUGUGAAACAAUAUGAGAGGUUUGAACUUUCAGAAAAAGACUCAGAACCAGAAUCAAAUGCUGUUAUGCUGCUUUUUUACCAUUUUUUUUCUAUUUGAGGUCUUUUUUUACACCAAGUGCCAAUCAGAAUAAAAAUGCUUUGCCCGAUCUGCAAAAGAAGCAUACAACAAUUUCUAAUUUGCAACAUGUUCUGCAUACCUGGAAUGCUGUAAACUUAAAAGGGCUUUCUGGUUGGAACAUCCCCUCCUCAUCAAGGCAUCUCUCUGGUCUGAACUCCUCUGCAUCAUCACCCCAAAUGAAUUUCAUUCUGCCCAUUGCAUAAGGUUCAUAACAAACCAUAUCUCCUUUCCUCACACUGAACCCAUCUGGAAGAGUUUCAUCAGACAAGCAUAUCUUUGCAUCCUGCAAUCAAAGUGAAGAGGUAG